rnacentral:rRNA from 1 species
UACGUAGGGGGCAAGCGUUUGUCCGGAUUUAUUGGGCGUAAAGAGCGUGUAGGCGGCCAUACAGGUCAGCUGUGAAAACUCGAGGCUCAACCUCGAGACGUCGGUUGAAACCGUAUGGCUAGAGUCCGGAAGAGGAGAGUGGAAUUCCCGGUGUAGCGGUGAAAUGCGCAGAUAUCGGGAAGAACACCCGUGGCGAAGGCGGCUCUCUGGGACGGUACUGACGCUGAGACGCGGAAAAGCG